rnacentral:rRNA from 1 species
GGGUAUGGCUGUUCGCCAUUUAAAGUGGUACGCGAGCUGGGUUUAGAACGUCGUGAGACAGUUCGGUCCCUAUCUGCCGUGGGCGCUGGAGAAUUGAGGGGGGCUGCUCCUAGUACGAGAGGACCGGAGUGGACGCAUCACUGGUGUUCGGGUUGUCAUGCCAAUGGCACUGCCCGGUAGCUAAAUGCGGAAGAGAUAAGUGCUGAAAGCAUCUAAGCACGAAACUUGCCCCGAGAUGAGUUCUCCCUGAGACUUUAAGUCUCCUGAAGGAACGUUAAAGACUAUGACGUUGAUAGGUCGGGUGUGUAAGCGCAGCGAUGCGUUGAGCUAACCGAUACUAAUGAACCGUGAGGCUUAACCUUACAACGCCGAAGGUGUUU